rfam:Acyrthosiphon pisum strain LSR1 Contig4479, whole genome shotgun sequence.
UCCCUGAUUGAUCCUGCCAGUAGUCAUAUGCUUGUCUCAAAGAUUAAGCCAUGCAUGUCUCAGUGCAAGCCGCAUUAAGGUGAAACCGCGAAAGGCUCAUUAAAUCAGUUGUGGUUCCUUAGAUCGUACCCAAGUUACUUGGAUAACUGUGGUAAUUCUAGAGCUAAUACAUGCCGACAGAGUUCCGACCGUCGCGGCGCCCUCGGGCGUCGCUCGCGGGAGGAACGCUUUUAUUAGAUCAAAACCGGCCCGUCGCGGCGCGCUUCGUGCGCGUCCCGAUCGCGGCCCGCGCAAAGACCUGGUGACUCUGAAUAACUUCGAGCUGAUCGCACGGUCUCCGUACCGGCGACGCAUCUUUCAAAUGUCUGCCUUAUCAACUGUCGAUGGUAGGUUCCAUGCCUACCAUGGUGGUAACGGGUAACGGGGAAUCAGGGUUCGAUUCCGGAGAGGGAGCCUGAGAAACGGCUACCACAUCCAAGGAAGGCAGCAGGCGCGCAAAUUACCCACUCCCGGAACGGGGAGGUAGUGACGAAAAAUAACGAUACGGGACUCAUCCGAGGCCCCGUAAUCGGAAUGAGAACACUUUAAAACCUUUAAACGAGGAUCAAUUGGAGGGCAAGUCUGGUGCCAGCAGCCGCGGUAAUUCCAGCUCCAAUAGCGUAUAUUAAAGUUGUUGCGGUUAAAAAGCUCGUAGUCGGAUCUGUGUCUGGACGGUGCCGGACCACCCUGGCGGUCCGUCGUGUCGCGGCCGGCCGUGUCGCGGGACCACGUGUCCCGUCGGCGCGGUCGCCGUCGCGCUCGUCAGCCGUCUCGGGGUGUUAGUUACCGGCACGUCGGCCGGACGUAUUGUCGGCAGGCGGACACGUGUCUCGUGCUUCCGGCGCGCCGCGCGGCCACGCGUCGCGCGGCCGUCGGUGUUCGACGACGGCGGCCGCCUACUCCAAUCUUGCUGCGCGGUGCUCUUCACCGAGUGCCGUCGGCGGGCCGACACGUUUACUUUGAACAAAUUAGAGUGCUCAAAGCAGGCUCGAAUCUGGCGGGGGCGGCUUCACGGCCGUCUCGUCAAAAGGCCCCUGAAUACUGGUCGCAUGGAAUAAUGGAACAAGACCUCGGUCCCGCGCAUCUCCGCCCUUCGCGGGCGCGCGAAAUCGCCCUCCGGGGCGUUUCCGUGCGCGGGCCGCCGGGCCGCGGGCGCCAGUCGCCCGCGCGUCCCGCCGGGCCGGUUUUCGGGACCGGAGGUAAUGAUCAACAGAGACGGGCGGGGGCAUUCGUACCGAGACGUUAGAGGUGAAAUUCUUGGAUCGUCUCGAGACGAACUGACGCGAAAGCAUUUGCCAAGUACGUUCUCGUAUGAUCAAGAACGAAAGUUAGAGGUUCGAAGGCGAUCAGAUACCGCCCUAGUUCUAACUGUAAACGAUGCCAGCUAGCGAUCCGCCGGCGUUUCAUUAACGACCCGGCGGGCAGCUUCCGGGAAACCGAAGCUUUUCGGUUCCGGGGGAAGUAUGAUUGCAAAGUUGAAACUUAAAGGAAUUGACGGAAGGGCACCACCAGGAGUGGAGCCUGCGGCUUAAUUUGACUCAACACGGGAAACCUCACCAGGCCCGGACACCGGAAAGAUUGACAGAUUGAGAGCUCUUUCUUGAUUCGGUGGGUGGUGGUGCAUGGCCGUUCUUAGUUGGUGGAGCGAUCUGUCUGGUUAAUUCCGAUAACGAACGAGACUCUGUCCUGCUAACUAGGCGGGUAAACCCGGGUCGGCGUGUGCGCGGCGCUGGCGGUUUCGGCCGUCAGUGUUCGCGUACCCGUCGGCUCGGCCCGGUAUCCCCGACGCGUUCGCCCGUCGUCCACGGCGGUCGUCGGGCGCGGCCGCGCCAUCCGCGUCCGGCGUUCGGCGGG